rnacentral:tRNA from 1 species
GCAGUGCUGGUUUAGUGGUAGGAUUCUCACCUUCCAUGUGGGAGACCUGGGUUCGAUUCCCAGCCAAAGCA